rnacentral:rRNA from 1 species
CAGCAGCCGCGGUAAGACAGAGGAUGCAAGCGUUAUCCGGAAUGAUUGGGCGUAAAGCGUCUGUAGGUGGCUUUUCAAGUCCGCCGUCAAAUCCCAGGGCUCAACCCUGGACAGGCGGUGGAAACUACCAAGCUGGAGUACGGUAGGGGCAGAGGGAAUUUCCGGUGGAGCGGUGAAAUGCGUCGAGAUCGGAAAGAACACCAACGGCGAGAGCACUCUGCUGGGCCGACACUGACACUGAGAGACGAAAGCUAGGGGAGCAAAUGGGAUUAGAUACCCCUGUAGUCCCUGUCUCUUAUAC